GAAAAUCAGAGAUUGUCAUACAAGAACCACUGAUUGGCUCAAAUGCAAGUCUGUCAAAAGAACUGAGAUAAGGGGACAGUCUACAGAGGCUUAGACACAAGGUGAUGGUCGGGCUGGUGAGCGAAUGAGAAGCAGGAAUACGUGUGUAUGACCAAUCACCGGCCAUAUCCUUAUCUGAAGCAGCAGAAGGGGUUAUGUCUGGAGCAUCUGAGACUCCCACAUCUCCUAAUGAUGCAAACAACCUCUGAUGAUGUCACUGAUGUUGCUGACAUCACUGUACUCGAGUCGUUGCUGCAGAAGAUGGCAAAUA